AGUUCCUAGGGAAUCUAUGUAGCUGUUGCUCCCAACAUGGCAACGCCCAGACAUGGGCUUCAUAUCGGCUGUUCCAGGUCUCUAUAGAAAAUCUAUGGGUGGCGUCACACAGCCUUUGUCCAGUA